rnacentral:rRNA from 1 species
GCAGCCGCGGUAAGUACGGAGGGUGCGAGCGUUAAUACGGAGUUACUGGCGUAAAGACGCAUGCAGGUGGUUUGUUAAGUCAGAUGUGAAAGCCCGGGGCUCAACCUCGGAACUGCAUUUGAAACUGGCAGACUAGAGUACUGUAGAGGGGGGUAGGAAUUUCAGGUGUAGCGGUGAAAUGCGUAGAGAUCUGAAGGAAUACCGGUGGCGAAGGCGGCCCCCUCGGACAGAUACUGACACUCAGAUGCGAAAGCGUGGGGAGCAAACAGGAUUAGAUACCCUGGUAG